AUGUUCACGGGAAGAAGCCCAACAGAAGGCACGUUCGGAGAUUCAUUGGGUCUGCAUAAGUUUAUCGAGGAUGCUCUUCCAGAUAGAACCUUGGAGAUAGCUGACCCUACAAUGUGGUUGCACAGCGGACAACACAAUAACACUACAAGUAUUAGAAUUCAGGAGUUAUUGGUUUCAGUCUUGAGCCUUGGCAUAUCCUGCUCAAAGCAACAUCCUCGUGACCGAGCACUGACAAGUGAUGCAACAGCGGAGAUGCAUGCAAUCAGAGAUGCAUACCUCAAGUUCAUAGGGGAGCAUGGAGCAGAACCAGAAGCCUCGACUCAAGAAAUUCAGAGCAGCAUUGCAUAA
rnacentral:rRNA from 1 species